CUGCAGUCCUACAUGUAGUUCCCUCUAUGGCCUAUAGGGGGCGUUGCUGCUCGAGGGGGCGAGAUGAUCCUCGUGCAUCAGCCUCGCACUCAUUGCACGUUGACUGUCUGUAGGAGACACACGUUGGGACAGACACAGACAGACACCAUGCUGUGCAGACGAGCUUUCCAGAGACUUUCUCCUCUGCUCAAGAGCGGAUUCACACCAGCAACCCGACACCCUCCGGUGCGUCACAUGGCCUUCGGGAUUCCCGGAGGAUCCACCAACACGAUGUACUUCCUGUUGUGUGGAGGAGGCGUCACCGCUGCAGCCGUCUACGCCUACAAGGCGGUGAGUGGGGACAGUGAGCGCCAAGAGGACAAACUCGCCUCCGUGAACUCUGCCGCAAAAGCUCCUGAGGCGGCACCAGCUGCCGAAGCCGUCGUUGAAGCUGUUGCUGCCGAACCCGCUGCUGAACCCACCGCCGUAGAAGCUGUCGUCGAAGCCGUUGCUGCCAUAGAAGCUGCCACAGAAGAAGCUGUUGUAGCAGUAGAAGCUGCCGCGGAAGCUACGGUCGAAGCCGUCGCUGCCACAGAAACCGCCGUAGAAGCUGCCGUGGAGGCUGUCACUGAUGUAGAAGUUGCUGCAGAAGCCGUCACAGAAGCUGCCGUAGCAGUUGUCGCUGAAGUGGAAGCUGCCGCAGAAGCGGUCACAGAAGUUGCCGCAGAAGCGGUCACAGAAGUUGCCGCAGAAGCGGUCACAGAAGUUGCCACAGAAGUUGCCACAGAAGUGGUCACAGAAGUUGCCACAGAGGUUGAACCUGUGGCUGCUGUGGAGGAUGUCGCUGCCCCUGAGGUGGCAGAAGCUGUUGCAGAAGCCGCCGUCGAGGUCGCCACGGUGAUAGAGGCACCAUCUGAGCCAGAAAGCGCCGGUACAGCAGCAGUAGAAGAAGCUGCGUAGAGUUUAAAAAGUCUGACCCCUUAAGGAAAGCUUUUCCUUAGAUGUUCCGUGUCCUUCUAUUCCAACGUUCGGAAAAAGGACUCAUGAACCUCCGUUGGUGAAAACAUUCUGAUUUCCUCUUGAUUUCACUUCCGAUCGUACCAAAAAGUCAACCACAAGGUUCAUCAGUCCACUUCCUUCCUUCCUGUCCUCCCUCACUACCUUCAGAGCUUCUCCUGCUUGGAAGGACUCAAAGCAGAUCCUGACUAAACCUGGGCUUUGGGUGAAUACUGAAACUGUGGGAGUGCCUUUAAAAGCAGGACGUUAGUGAAAUAGUAUGUGAGUAAUUAAAAGUGGGACUUUAAUGUUUUCUUUACUUUAACCAAUACAAGAGAAAUACCACACUCCUGUUUGUUUGUGGGAACACUACAGUUGAAAAUGGUCCCUCGCCGUGGGGCAUUAAGGGGGGGAUUUUCACAAUAAAUUGUUUGUUUGAUGGUGUGUAAUAAUAAAA
rnacentral:lncRNA from 1 species